UUACCAGUACCAUUUCAAACACAACAUCCACUACUGCAGGGCAGCUCAGCAUUACAACAACCCUCUUCUCUCUCUUUCUUUGAGUGGGGAUGCUAAUAAAGAGGAGGUCCCUCAAAGGAAGCAAUGCAAUGCUGUUAUAUGAAGCAUCUGGAAGAUGAAGCACCUCUAUAUAAUAUUCAUUACAAUCAGAAGUAGCCUUUCCUCAGGAUCAGGCAUUUUUGCUGAAUAAAUGGUUCGGAGAAAAAUUUCCAACCAGCUCUACUGAGGACCAUGAGUCCUGGAUGUGCACAG